CGGAGGAGGCGGGAGCUGAGGACCGGCGCGUUCUCCUUGCUUCUUGGGGUCGUGGCCUUGCUCCCGCCUUGCAAGGCAAGGGUCCGGGCGCUUCCGCGCGCGUGUGUGCGCGUGGGGCCUGAAGCGCUCGUGCGUCCGGGCUAGGUCUCUGCGGGGGCAGAAGCAGGAGCCAUGGGUGGGACCUCCAGCACCCGCCGGGUCACCUUCGAGGCGGACGAGAAUGAGAACAUCACCGUGGUGAAGGGCAUCCGGCUUUCGGAAAAUGUGAUUGAUCGUAUGAAGGAAACCUCCCCAUCUGGUUCGAAGUCUCAGCGGCAUUCUGUUUCUGAUGAAGAAUUGAAGAGAAGAGUGGCUGAGGAGCUGGCAUUGGAGCAAGCCAGGAAAGAGUCUGAAAAUCAGAAACGACUAAAGCAAGGCAAAGAACUGGACCGAGAGAGGGCUUUUGCUAAUGAGCAGUUAACCAGAGCUAUUCUUCGAGAGAGGAUAUCAAGUGAAGAAGAACGAGCCAAGGCAAAGCACCUGGCUAAGCAGCUGGAAGAGAAAGAUCGAGUGAUAAAGAAGCAGGAUGCAUUCUACAAAGAGCAGCUGGCUAGACUGGAGGAGAGGAGCUCAGAAUUCUACAAAGUCACCACUGAACAAUAUCAGAAAGCUGCUGAAGAGGUGGAAGCAAAGUUCAAAGAGCACGAGAGAGCACAAGCAGGGAGAACAGUAGAGGGAGAGGAAGAAGCAGGCUUCCCGCCGAGCAGGGAGCCCGACGUGGGGCUCGAUCCUAGGACCCUGAGAUCAUGACCUGAGCCGAAGGCAGACGCCCGAAGAUGGAAGCUUUUUAAAUUGCAGUUUCAAGGGCGGUAUUAUACACCUGAUGGGGGUCACACAGAAUGACUGUAAAGAGAAGGAAAGCUGAGAGCACUUGAAGCCAGACAUGAUAAACACCAGUCACAUCGAUGCGUCUUGCCAGGAUAGCUAAUGGAAUUAUUUUAGGGAUGCUUAAACAUUAACUCAUACUUUAGUCCUUCAGUUUAUAGUUUUGGCAGGAAACCAUUAAAACAUUUUAGAUUUAAUGGCAUUUUCCCCCCUAUUUAAUCAGCACCUCAUUCAUUCAGAGGGCUCCUCCGUGACAUGCCCUCUGAGUUGUGAAUAUACAGCUAUGAGGAAACAGGUAGGAUCUUACCAGUAUGGAACUCGGGAGUCGAUCAGAGCGCAGGAGGAAGACAGAAUUUUAAAAUAAAGAGCUUUUGAGGGGCGCCUGGGUGGGCUCAGUUGGUUAAGCGACUGCCUUCGGCUCAGGUCAUGAUCCUGGAGUCCCGGGAUCGAGUCCUGCAUCGGGCUCCCUGCUCGGCAGGGAGUCUGCUUCUCCCUCUGACCCUAUCCCCUCUCAUGCUCUUUCUCUCUUUCUCUCUCUCAAAUAAAUAAAUAAAAUCUUUAAAAAAAAAAAAAAUAAAGAGCUUUUGAAAAAUCCCAAGGUAGUUCUAUUAUCAUGGGAUAAUUGUGUCCCUAAUAAGUUAUUAAAAAUAUUAUUUACGUUUUUUUUCAGUAGGAAUUAAACAGUUUGGAAAUUAAGAAUGUAUGCUGCUUAUUUUCCUGCAAGAACUUUUACCCCACAAUAGCUUUAACGUUUUAGCUGUAAAACCCAAAUCCCUUAGCAGAUCCAGCAAUUUUUUACAUCUAGCUUUUAUUCAAAAGAUAACCUUAACUUUUCCCAGUCCAACUAGAAACAAUCACUGUUAGCAGUUCCAAUUGCUUUCAUCACUCUGGUGUUAUCUGUUAAAUAGAGCAAUUUAUGGUGCUGGUUCUUAGUUUCAAGAUGCUGGUACCAUGUCAUGUAGAGAAGUAUUCCCUGUGUUAACCCUUAUUCUUCACCUGAUAGGUAAUUAAUUAAACAAAAUACUAUAUUAAAUGUUGCAUUGAUGGUACUUAGCACAGGUCUAGCACAAGAUAAAUGCUCUGAAUAUUUGAUUUUAUUGUUAUAUAUAUUGUGAUGAUAUUAUUUUAUUAUGAUGUCCAACUCAAGGUAUAUGACUGUGCACCAUAGGAGAAAUUUCUGUAUUUGUUUCCAGACAAAAUCUACCUGAUGUUAAACCCCUCUCUGAAAACAAACAAAAAAACAAUAGAAAGAGUUCUUAUCCUCUGGGAGCUCUCAGCCCAACCAAAGACAAGGGAUGAAGCUGUGGGUACGGGGAGGGUGCGGUGAGGGAUGUGGCAGAGAACAGGGAGAGAGCUGCAGGGGCUCUAUCUCUUGAUCACUGUCAGAAUCAGACCUCCUUGGGUGGAUUAGAUCCUGUGUACCACAUCUGCAAAAAGGAAGCAUUAUUACCAGUGUAUUUUGUACAUAUGAGGUUUUUUUAAAUAAAAAAACAAAUGUUAAGCACAUAUCAAAGAAAUAUAGAAUAUUCUGAAGGCAAUGGAAACCUUGUGAAGACAAUACAAUAUCAAAUAAAUGAAAAGCAUUUUAAAGACAAUUGAUAUUUCUUUCCCAUGCUGUCGUAGAUAACAAAGUGGACCGUUUCCACCUUCCCUAAAGGAGAAAGUAUGAAUGUGGGAAGUGACAUAGGUCUGUUGAAAAUGUUUUUGGACUCCUUUCGUUAAAGGUGUAACAUUUCAGCUUGGCUUCAGUUUUGUUGGAAGAUGAAGCACUUGUAAAGGAGUAUGAUUCUGUGAGAUUGUACAUGAAUACUAGUAAUACUCCUUUGUGUGCUCUACUUUAGAAGGGUUUUCACUUUUAUCCUUGAACGAAGUUGUUGAAACCUGACUUACAAAUUUAGGCUCAUGGAAGAAGCCUGGGUUAUCCUUACAAGGUAUUAAAAGAUUAGUUACCCUGUGGAAGAAGUUUAGGUGAUUUUAGAGUAUCUGAGGAAUGCUAUGCAAAACUCUUAGAGAUAAAAUGGGUUUUGUAAGUAUUACCUUAUAUUCAAAGUUUUCUUCAAUGUAAAAUGCUUUAACUUUAAAAUGUUUUUGGUUUUAUUAGGUUUUUCACUUUGAUGUAGGGGUGGAAAAGUUUUCCCUUCAUCUAGGAUCUUUGGCUGGUCAAAUAAUUAAAUUGAUUUAAAACCAAUUAACAGGAGAAAACAACUCCAAGUGUAGUAAUGUGUAUACAUGAGAGAGACCUGGAGUAAGUGAGUAACUCUCCAAAAUGGCCAGAACCAUCACCUUAAAUAGCACCUUCAGCAAAAGACAAAAGAUUUCGGAGAUACAGAAUCAGUUAUGGGAGCACAGUAAACAAGGGUAAGGUUGUUAUGCAGACCUAAGUCAUCCUCUUCUCCACUGGUGAGAGUUUCUAGAGGUUGAGUCAUCCUCUCUUCCUGAUACCGCAAGAGAGACGCCCCUGCAAAUGGAGGAUUUCUUUAGACAUGUCAGUAUCUCCUGCAAAAGGGUCACUUCUCUUUGGUUUGCAGAGCUUCUCACGUGUUGGCAGUUUCUUAAAAAUCAUCAACCAAAAAUAAUCCUUAUGCCAGAGAGACAUGUCUUGGGGUGGCAAAUUCUGCUCCUCUGCACCAGCAGUCCUGUUUUGUUUCUUUUGGGUGGAUGAUUUUAAUAGCUAUACUGGAAAUGAAUUAGUGAAGCUGAGGAUUACAUGCCGGUGGUAUCAGCAGGUGUUUCUCAUGUUCUCUGUAAUUACACAUGGGAUCAUGGACAGUUUUAAGCAACAGUGUUUAAAGAUCCUGCUUAAUUGGCUGUAAAAUAAUUAAAUAAGGUUUUGACUGGCAAAUUUAUAAUUCUGUUAGAUGAGUAAGCCAGUGUGCCUGAAUGUCAGUGUGACUUCAAUUUGGAAAUAUUAGAUUAAUAGAACUAAUUGUACUGCAGGUACAAAGUUUACCCUGAUUAAUAGUCUUAAAACUUUUCUAGAAGUGUAGCCAAGUAAAUUUAUGUUACUUACCUCUUACUUUUAAUUAAAACUUAUUUCAAAAGUUUGAGCUGUUCAGUUUUGCUGUGCUUCUCUUUCUCUUUGGUUUCUCCAAAGUGGAGUUCCAGCAAUUUUUCGGUGACUCCAGCUGCCUUAUUGAAUAGCUGGCCUUAUCAAAAGGCUUAAAAUUAUAUACUGUUGUACAUGUAUUUGUAUCUGCAGCUGACAGGUACCCUGCACAUCGUCUCUAACACUUAUUGAUGUCUGUUUAUAACCUACUUUAGUGCUGCGUGAAUGGCUCUGAUAGACCAAAUGUACAUGAUAAAUGUUCUAUCUCUGAUUCUCAUGGAUCAAUUUCUAAAUGAUCAAAUGGUUUAUCUCAGUAAGACACUAAUUCACAUUGAUCAAAUUCUAAAUGACCAAGUUGACUUGGCUUCUGCUGAACACAAAUUGUAUUAAAACAACAUUACUUGAACAUGCUGUCUUUUCUAAUGCAGGAGUUAUGUUACCAGCAGUUACAUUAUAACUAGAGUUAUUGUAUUAUAAAGAUGUCUCCUUCAUAAUGAAAAGUUUACACAAGAAGAAAAGAAUGUGAUAUUGCAGGAAGAACAGGGCUUUGAGCAAGGAUUUGGGCUUUUACUAACUAAUUAAAUUCUGCAUUUGUAUUGGGUCCUCCUUCCCCUUUUUUUAAUUUGAAAGGCUGUGAGCAGGGAGCAUGGCAGCUGCACUGGUGACAUUUUAUUCCCUAGGGUCCUCAGAGCCAAGUAACAUCUUGAUUAUUCAGUAAGAGAUUUAGUAACUGAAGAGGCAAAAUUCUAGAUAAAGUCAAUAUACCUGUACCCUUUGUGUAUAAACUCGGUUUCAAUAGGUUUUAAGGUUAUUUAUUGUUUUUUAAAAAACAUCAGCUCCCCUGUGUCAACUGGCAGGGUGUCUCAAACCCUCUGGAGUUUGUCAGUGUUGCUGGCAGAGGAUUUCCAUUCUGAAAUUGAGAAACAAUGUUUAUGAGCUGAAGAAUAUACUUUGUAUAUGAAGCUAAUGGCAAAUACACAUUUGGCUGAAACAUAGUCUUGGUUGUUUAGAACAACUAAUUCCUCAGGCAGGUUAUUUAUUACAUCUUUGGCUUGUCUCUUCCAUCUGUAAAAUGUAAAUUAUAACCGCCACUCUCUUUAGGGCAUCCAAGCUGAGAAGGUUUAAAAGUUAAAAAAGAAGGAAAAAAAGAAAGUUGUCAUUGAGCCUCAUCUAAAAAUGGUUGUAAACGGUGGUUUUACUCAGUUCUAAAGGUGCUGGCUGCCAUUUUAAGUAUGUUCUGGAUGGUGUGGCAGCCCUUCGGUACUUCCUCAGGGGAUAUGUACAGGACAGUCUGCCACCUGUCAAGUUAUGAGUCUGUCUCCCUUUUCAUCCCCCACAUCCCACCCACCUCCAACCACAAAUUAGUUCCAAGUAAAGUGAGAUCUGUUUUGGAAUACACCAGUAUUUGACAACAUUUCAUAUGAUAGGCAUUUAAAAUUGGUUAGAUUCGUAAAGAAACCUUAGGUGAUUAAAGUUUUUUUAAAUUCCUUUAAGAUUUGAGCCCUUCCAAUCAGAUCUAAGUUACUUAGUUUCUUUUUGUUCCUUGGUUUGGAUCUCUAUAUUGAAUCUAUACGCUAUCUUCUGAGGGAACAGAAGUAAAUGGCAAGAAACAUUAACACCACAUGGGAGUAAGCUUUUUGUCUGCACCUUUUCUCUGCUUCCUAAACUGUCCCUCACAGUGUUCCACUCAAUCCAGAAGUGUCUGCAGAAAGGGGCGGGGCAGGGUGGCAAAGUUGAUUGGAAUACAGGGCAGGUGCGCGAGUGUAAACCACAGAUAGUAUGGUCUGUUUCACAAAAAGGACACAAACUGCAGCCAUCACAUGAACAUCUGCACUUGUUCACAAGGUCAAGAGACGGUUGCUGCAGCCACUUCCUCCUCACGUCAAUGUCAACAUAAGUAUGUAAAGGAACUGCGAGUGGUGACAGAAGCUGCCAAAGGUCCAGUCCAAUUAGCUCCAUCCUAUCCGGGACCCAGAACUCUUGUCUCUGUCCAAGCUGUGGCAGUCAGGAUUGGUUUGCUUUGCUCUGGGCAUCUUCUUUACUUUAACCUAUUUAUGUGUUACAUGUAAAUGAUCCUAACCAGUCUUGUAGCCCUUAGGUUUGUGGCCAUAAGAUCCUGAAUUCAUGAUUUGUUCCACGUGAGAUAACAAAUUGUUCUGUUUUCCCCUACAAGAACAUUAGCAUUGAACUUUCUUUCUUAAUCAAUACAAUCCAUUAAGAAUCUAGCAUACCCUACAUGGUUAUAUGAAACAUUAAUUACACACUGUUAGAUAAAUGGAGGUUCUGCCAGAAUGAUAGCUUGUUUCUUUCCUUGUAUCGUAGUAUUUAAAAUGAGAACAUUUGGACUUCUAGAGUACAUGGUAUUUUGGAAUUUGUCUACUGAUCCUUGCUUAUUUGAGUCAUUAACUAACGGUAUAGCUCAUAGUUCCCAAAAGCUAUUUCUAACUGGAAGUAGGAAAUCUUUUCCUCUUGCUCAUUCUGACUCGAGUUCCUUUACAUUUUAAAGAUCCAGUAGAAAAUAAUUUUUGAUUUUCCUUUGAUGUUUUCAGAGAUAAGAAAAAGUUAUUUUGCUUUUUGAGUGCCACUCAGCUGCAGGUAGAGAGAAGCUUGUAAGGAGGGUCAAUUAGAGUUAAUUAUUGUCUGACAAACCUACCAUAUUUUAAAAUGUCCAGGAAGAGUUCUAGGUUGUAGAUUUUUAAUUCUUAAAGUCUUGAGCAUGGUUAAAAAUUGCAUCGUAGUCAUUAUCUGCACAUAAAAAUGAUAGCUGUCAGGAUGGUCUGUGGAAGUUGUAUAGGCUUGGCCAUAUUGUAAGAUCCAAUUAUGUUUUAUCGCUCUACAGUUUGGUAAGCCUAUUCCAAAUACUAUCAGGCCUUCCUGCCUCCAACCAGAUAAUUAUAGAUGUCUGUGGUUGCCCUUUCACCAUGCAUGGGAUAAAACCAUGGUAGUAAGAUUGAAAGCAGAACUUCUAGGAUAAUUGCACUUAAACAUACAUUUCCAUAGCACAUUUGAAAUUAUAAUUUAUCAUGAGAUGUCUCAUGGUUUCAGUCUAUUAAGGAUUCCCAUUGCUGGCUCUUUUGAAUUUUCUUAAGACAUAAGCAAACAAAAUACGGAAGUUGGUAACUUGGUCCUUACUAUAAUUUAAAACUUCUGUUCAUCUAAAGACACCAUUAAGAAAAUUUAUAAAAUGGGUGAAAGAUUUGAAGAGACACUUCGAAGGAAGAUAUAAGGAUGGCCAUUAGCACACGAAAAGUGCUAAUAACAUCAUUAGUUAUUAGGAAAAUGUGAAUUUAAAAUGUUGGAAUGCUGAAAACCGGAAGGACUGACAGUCCUAAUUGUUUGACAGGAUGUGGAGAAGCCAGAAUUUUCAUCCUUUGCUGGUGGAGUUCUAAAAUGGCAGCCACUUUGGAAAAAGUUUGGCAGUUUCUUAUAAAUUUAAACAUACAUUUGCUCUAUGACUCAGCAAUUCUAGUCCUAGGUAUUUAUCCCAAAGGAAAUAAAAUAUACAUUCACAAAAAGAUUUGUACACAUAUGUUCACAUCAGCUUUAUUCAUAGUAGUCAAAACUAGAAACAACCCAAAUGGUCCAGAGAAUGGAUAAACCAAUUGUGGUAUAUUCAUACAGUGGAAUAGAAUACUCUUCAGGAGUUUAAAAAAAAAAAGAAAAAGAAAAAAAACAAACUAUUGAUACAUGUAAUAACAUGGAUGAAUCUGAGAAACAUGUUAAGCAAAAAGAAGCCAAACACAAAACAAUACUGUGUGCUUCCAUUUGUUUGAUUCUAUAUAUGAAGUGCAAAAAUAGGAAAAAUUCAUCUGUACUGACAGAAAUCAGAACAGUUGAUGGGGAGGGAAGGCAAUUUGAUUGGAAAGGGACACAGACUUUCUGAGGCACUGGGAGUAUUUGUUUUCUAGAUCAUAGUUAUACAGACAUAAACAAUUUUUACAAUAUGAACAAUUAAGAUAGGUGCUUUUUAAAAAAAUGCUAAUUAUACUUUAAGCACCCUAAAUUCAUUGUUAAUUAAUUUUACCUAGGGAAAAAAAAAUGCCCAAAAUAUUAGGAGUGCCCAACUUCUAACUAUAAUUUGUCGGAGGUAAAAUAAGUUUCUUCAAUUUAAUCAGUCUUAAGAAACUUGCAAUUAUUAAUUUUAUCCAUAAUUGUAUUUUUUCAUCAUUCAAUAUAUUUCAAUGCUAUAGAAAUAUAGAAGUAAACCUUGCUAUAUUUUAUUUAUUUAUUUUCUUAAGAAUCAGUCUGUUUUCCUUCUUACUAAGUUACAUUUGCCUCUCAUAUACUCUCUUCCUCAUUAGCCGAGAGUCUUGCAGAUGGACCUGGUUACGUUUUGAAAGUUAUUUUUGAUAAAGGGGUUUUGAAGGCAGUAUUUAUAAAUGAAACAUUUAUACAGUAACACUGGUACUUUUUAAUAUAAUAAUCCUAGGCAGCAGUUUGUUCCUACUAUGUAUUACAUCCUGGCAAAAUGCUUCAGAACUUGUAAAAGCUUGCAUCUUGGCCCUUCCCUACAUGUUGAAACGAAAGCACACAUGUUCCCAUGUUCAAGUGUCGCCAAGCAUCCCCAGCUUGCUCACAUGGCUGCCUUAAGCUGUUUUAUGUGCUUUCUCAUUCAGUGGCCAACAGUUAAAUUGCCGUGUUCCUUUUGUGAGUGUGUACGUCUAAAUGCUGGUAAUCAGCUGCGUCCCUUGCAAAUUGAUAGAUGCGCUCAUUAAGGGGAGCUCUUGCUCUUGGCGCCACUCAAAAGUCACCUCAGCUACUGUUUCUGGAUGAAGCUGGCAAGAAAUACUGUGCAGUGAUACAUCUGGCUUUGUACUCCUUUGCAAGGACUCACACCUCCUUUUUCAGUAGGUUAAACAUGCUUCUUUGUAGGGAUCUUAAGUACAAAGCAGUCAGCUAUUUGCCAAUUACAGUAUUAACACAAGAAAGACUAAGGGCUGCUGUUGUGUGGUGGGAUUUUUUUUUUUUUUUUUUUUUUUAAUGUGCUGCCAUUUGUUCUUCGUCUUGUUCUCCUGUGCUGCUGAGAUUACACACAUGCCUAUUUGUGAGCCACACCCACCUAUUGGAGACUCUGAAGUCCACCAGCCUGCCGCUGGUAGAGAUCUCAACAAAGCUGCCGUCUGAGAGGCACAUUCUGCAUGGUUUAUGAUUGGGAUUUUGAAGGUAGCAUACACCUGUUUCUGUUUUCAGGAUGGAAAAUGAAUUGCCAAUUACUGUAGACAUGUUCAGACAUGACACUUCAUAUGGCAGAAGCUUGCUCAGCCUGCUUUAUGCUGGGCCCCCAACUAUGAACCAUCAGUUCUGAAAAAGGGGUGUGUUGGUGAGCAGCAGAAGAGAGAAGGGCCUCCAUCCUUGAUCCAUUAACUAUUUUUUGUGCUUGUGCAGCUGUGGGAAGGAGGUCAGUGCCUCUCACCUUUGUUUCCCCAGCAGAGCUCUUGAACAAGAUGAAGCGAUCAAAGUCCAGUGCCAGCACAUCCUCAGUCUCAUUACUUUGCAAGCUGCACGCCCAGAUGCUUCUGUUUUCCGCAUCAGGCUUCACUGAUACACAUUCAUAACACCUCCAUCACAGCUCAUUGGGCACUGCUCGUAAUUAACCGGUUCUUUUCUUUUCAUGAUCGUGUUUUCUCUAAUACAAAAGACGCUACUACAAAGAAGAAAAUAACAUUGCUGGAUGUUCACUGCUUCUUUCAGAUAUCCUGGGUAGUUGACCGGCAGCAAGAAUCAAAUAUGUUAUCACUCCAUAAAUAAUGUGUGGUUUUGGUUUGGUUAGGUGAGCGUUGGUUUGGGCGUAUUUUUGAAGUCUUUGAGUUUGAGAUACUGGAUUUUGCCAGCAGAAAUUUCACUGAUGCCCCUGUCCUGGAGUUCCUUUCAGUGCGGGGAUUCGGACACACUGUCCUCAUUUGUUUGGAUUCUCCCCCCAGCUCAGAACGCAGUGACAUCUAUUUAUUUUGAAAGAUUAUUAGUAAGAUAAUUUUUGCUUUAGGGAAUUUAAGUCAUCAUUAAAAUCAACAAAACUACCCAUUGAGGUCUUUGAUGCUCCAUGCUCUGUGGGCACUGGAAAUACAGAAAUAGAAGUUUGAGUUCCUGCCCUCAGAGGUCUUAUGCUUGUUGAGAUCAUUAGCUCUGCUAUCGAGGUGCCAAAACCUCAUACAGAAACUAUAACUGCAACAUUUGUUCAAAAAAAAUUGUUGAGUAUCUCCUAUCGCAUACAUUCCAGGUGGUUUUUAUAAAUGGGAAAUAGAUGAAAUGGGCAUGAUCCCUGACUUCAGAACACUUGGGGGAGACAGAUUAAUACAAAAGUGACUAAAGUGUGGUAAAUGCUAAUAUAAUGGUAUAAACAAAAUGCUGUAAGAAUAAGGGAAGCUGGAUUACAGGCAGAGGUGACUGGCGUAGGCUGGGUCUUUUCACUUUGAGAUUUUCAUAAGGUAAGAAGAGGGAAAGUAGCUUUCCAUCAAGAGGGAAUCUGAUGCUGGAAGUGGUUGGGAUGAAUGUGGAGGGAGAUGGAAUAGGAGGCCAUAAAAGAAGAUUAGAGUCAGACUUUACAUGCCAUGUAGUGAAAGGAAGAGUUAUUAACUCUGGGGGGUGAAGGUGUGAGGAGUCAGCAAAAAAGUUCUACCUACUUGAAAAUAUUUUUCUGCCCCCCAUCUCUGGUGUCCAUGAUUCUCACCAUGGAAUUAUGCCUUUUGAGUUGGUCGUUGUUUUUAAACAUUUUCUAUCAAAUAUACAAGUGUAAUGUUCGGUGCAUAUGUAUGUGUUUAUUAUAAUCACAGCUUAUUAUACCCUUCUAGUUACUAUUAUUUUAACAUUAUUAAUAUCUAUUCAAAAAUAAGCAUAUGUUAACUCAUAUUAAUUAUCUCUUAGCAAAGUUCAUGGCUUUGAGAGAUUGGGAUAUAGGAAAGAGCAGUUGUGAUUGAAAAGAUAGGGAAGAGAGAAUUCAAGAAAGGUUUGGUUCAUGGGAUGCUGUUUGGGGAAAUGCUAGAGCAUUUUAGCAGAGAAAGAACAUUUCAGAUAAAGGAACACCAAAAGCCAGUAGGCUGGUUCCUCAUUUUAUCACUGUCCCUGCAGACCAUGUUGUGGGAUCAUCUUUUAACUGAAACGGUAUAAUGGUGAACUUAUAAAAGUAUUCCGAGCCAUGAUCUCUUUCAAUAGCAUCCUAACAAUUCAUAUGAUACCAAAUUCUGCAUGUUGUUACAAAGAAUGUGUUAAAAACAAAUUUUAUAUGGUUUAUUCAGAUACGGUCUGUCUGGGUGUAUGACUUUUGGUUUAUGUCUGUGAUUGCAUGUACCCAAGAUAUAUAAAAUUAGCUCCUAUAUUGCUAGUCCACCUAAUAAGAUCCUAGUAUUAUCAUUAAAUGAAUAUUUUAAGAAUUUCCUUCCCAUUGUAUUUUGUGAUCAACCUUUGCCUUUUGAUAUCCUUCCUAGAGACUUCGUGUGGUGAAAAGAAUAUGAAAUUAAUAAAUGCUAUUGGAUUUUUAAAAAUUAUCAAGGUUUGUUCACACCUGCCCCUAACACAGCACACCUUCACCGUCUCCUGCUGGUAAACUCCACUGUCAAGACCUGUCUUACAGAUAUACCUAAAGAACAAGCAACAAAAUAAAAAACAAGUGGACCUCUAUCAAACUAAAAAGCUUCUGCACAGCAAAAGAAACCACCAACAAAGUGAGAAGACAAUCCAUGGAAUGGGAAAAAAAUAUUUGCAAACCAUCUAUCUUCUAAUAAGGGAUUAAUAUCCAAAAUAUAUAAAGAACUCAUACACUCAAUAGCAAAAAAGCAAAUAACCCAAUUAAAAAAUUGGCAAAGGACCUGAUUCUACAUUUCUUCAAAGAAGCUAGACAAGGCUCAGCAUCAUCAGGGACAUGCAGGUUGAAACCACAUUGAAAUAUCACCUCAGGCCUGUUAGAAUGGCCAUCACCAAAAAGACAGGAGGUUACAAAUGCUGGUGAGGAUGUGGAGGAAAGGGAACCCUUGUGCACCCUGGGGUAAUUGUAAAAUGGUGCAGUCACUGCAGUAUGGAGGUUCCUUGAAAAAUUAAAAAUAGAACAACCAUAUGAUCCAGCAGUUCCACUUCUGGGAAUAUUUCAAAGGAAACAACAUGGAAACAGCCUAAGUGUCCACUGAUGGAUGAAUGUAUAAAGAAGUUGUGAUAUGUGUGUAUGUGUAUAUAAAUAUAUAUAAUUCAGCCAUAAAAAGAGGAAGUCCUACCAUUUGUGGCAACAUGGAUGGACCCUGACAGCAUUAUGCUAAGGGAGAUAAGUCAGAGAAAGACAAAAAUUGAAUGAUCUCACGUAUAUGUGGAAUCCAAGAAAACCCUGCAAAUUUAUAGAAAAAAGAGAUGAGACCUGCGGUUAGCAGGGGUAGGGGAAACCAGAGGAAGGUGGACAAAGGUACAGAUUUCCAAGUUACCAGAUAAAUAAAUACAAUAUAAUGACUAGAGCUGACACUGCUGUAUGAUACACAGUUAAAGUUGUUAAGAGGGUAGAGCCUAAGAGUCCUCAUCACAAGGAGAAAAUAUUUGCCCCUUCUUUCCUUCUUUCCUCUUGUUGCGUCUGUAUGAGGAGGUGGGUGUUUGCCCAAGCUCUCGUGGUCAUCAUUUCACAACAUAUGGGAAUCAAACCGUCAUGCCAUAUGCCUUAAACUUACACGGUGAUGUGUGUCAAUUAUUUCUCCAUAAAACUGGGGAGAUAAAAGAAAUUGGUGUGGCUUUUGCUUUGAUUUAUGAAAAGGUUGCUACAUGAAGAAGAUAUCACAUAAAACAGCACUGUGGUAGCAGUGUUAUUAGAUGCAGUUGUAAGUAUAGCAAGUAAUGACUGACUAAUUAGGCUCAUUAUCUUCUUCCUACAUUCUGUUCUUUGGAUGGGGUGGGCCCUCUUAGCAAUACAGUAUCUUCCUUGCUUUCUCUUGGAUUAGCAUGUUUCUCCAAAGGUUUCCUCUUAACAGGAGCGUGCAGUGUGAUGCUGGUCGUCUAAGAGGGGAUCAUUAAGUAGUCGACUUGAUGGUUCAGUUAUCCCACAGUGACAGCAUUGAGUAAUUACCUAUUGGUUUUGCCUCAGGGCGCACGUGCGUGCAUACUCUCCCACACAAACACCACAGAGGGAAGGACUCUGAAAUUCUGGCUCCUGAAUAUCAGCAACAGCUCCAAGUAGUAGCAGGUGGCUCUUCUGGAAAAUGGCACCUAUAGCUUCUUGCUCAAUAGGACUUUGUCCCCAAGGAGAAUAGUCAUUACUCUGCCUCGGUUUUUUAGUUUCAGUGCACUUUGGUAUGGUGGAGUGUCUUUUAUGCUGUAAAAAUUUUCCUUCCCUUUGAAAUCUUUGUUUGGUCUUUCUAGUUCCAGUUGCGUCUUAAUAUGCAAGAAAGGCAGCUGUGUUUUCUUUUAAGCAAAUAUAAUUGUGGGGGAAGGCGUCUCUGUUUAUCCCAUGGACAAAUACAUUAUGGAUAAUGCCAAAAAAAAAGCUUGGGACCCCAGAAAAAAUAUGUAAAUCUUUUCAAUUCUCUCUAAAGCAGAUAAGUGCUGCCCUUUAUAUGGCCGUCUCCUGCACUAGCAUUUUCUUUAGAGCCAGCAGCUGUGGGGGACUAGGGACAAACACAUGCACAGGAGAAAUGACCACGUUUCCUUCAGUUCCCACGUAUAGACAGAGAUGCACUGUGUCUCUUCUGGCCUCUGUCCAUAUUUCAGGCAGCCACGUUCCUAGUUAUUGGAACCUACUGCCUCCAUUUUGAUAAAUUAUUUUUGAGGCCUUUGUGUGCCAUUUAUCGAAUGAACUUCUGGCAAGGUUUUGCCAUUUGCUGAUCUUCUUUUGACUUGUUUAUCCAGAGAGAUCCUUUGUGCAAGUGUGGGAGACGAUCCUGUCUUAAGCUAUGGAAUGAGAGAACAGAGGCAGAAGCAUAUAUGAGUUAUCCUUGGGAACAGAACACGGGCCUGGCCCAGGCAGGUUGCAUUUAAUAGCUUCUUGUUGCCUGGAAGGCUUCCGUCCCUGGAAUGGCCCAGAGUGAUCAGGCAGGCCCCUGUCAUAAAGCCCCAAGCACAGCAGCGGCUGGGGAGAAUCACAUUUGGCCCACAGCGGCUGGCAGGAAGACCAUGCCCAGGAAGUCCUGCUCUCCGAGGUGGAGGGAGUCAAACUGGGAAGGUUGGAUGCGAGAUGGUGUAAUUAACGGCUUCCUGGAGAAGAGGGAGCAAUAAUAUUGGAAGCCAAAUGGACGAGUAUGUUAAUGUAUGGGGAAGGUACUCCUAAAAUGCUCAUGCAGGUGAUCUAGUGAUUGUCAUGAAACUUUAUUUUAAACGCAUACUUUAAAAAGUUUAAAUGCUGAAUCUGAACCUCCUAUCAGCUUUAAAAACAACCACAGUUAAGAUCCAGCUUGAACAUUAAUAGGGCCCUACUCUUUUUCUCCAGGAAGGAAAGAAAUAGACUAAGCUCAGAUGAUUUUUCUUGGUUUUGCUCACAUUUUAGAGGGAUGUGGAAUGAGUCAGGAAGGGGUAUUAUCUGGUCUCUUGCUUACUUUCAGAAGCCUGGGCUUUUGUACGGCAAAGGGCUCACUGGAAGAAAGCUAGGCCUCUUGUGAAUUUCGACAUCACAGACUACUCAGCCUUCACUGCAGGACCUAGGAGAGUGCAGAACCAAGAGGGUCAGACCCCGUGCUAAAGCUAGAACACCGGGGCAAACUUUAGAGCAAAGGAACACAAAUAAAUUUGGUUUCAGGCACAAACUCCAGCUGAUUAUAGUGACCUCCCCGCAGUAUGUUGUUGAGAAGGGUUCUGAGGCUAUGACGAGGCUCCGCCUGGACUGUCAUGAUUGAUGAGUGACGUCCAGCAUUGGCAUGAGCAGUGAGAGAGUUGGCAUGUUUCCUUGAUAUUUGCUGCCCGGCUUUAGAAGCAUAUAUAAGAAUCUCUUUACUCCCUGACUGACAGUGCCUAAACCAGAAAUAGGAAGGAGGAGAAUGGGGAGGGAGCAAGAAAGGCUACAAUUCUAAUAUCUUUUCUCAAAAAAACCUUUUUUCCCCUCUGUUCUCUUUUCACCUUUCCUCCUACCAGCAGGUUUAGUGAAAUGAAAUACCACAAACCAAGACUCUAUUUUGUUACCUCUUGUCCUGGUGUGGCUCGUCGUAGGAGAGCCCAUUUCUUUUGCCUCACGUCAGCUACCUGAGCACCACUGAAACUAUUCCUGGCAUUUGCAGGGACCUAAGAAAUAAGCAGGAAAGAAACAACUGUUGGUAAAAUGUCCUUCAUGUGCAGUCAUAUCUAACAUUUUCUUUGUAGUGAAGAGGAGAAUAUAUUAACAUUCCACUUUGAUUAGCAUUUGUAAUACAUGCAAAGAUAUUAACCUUCAGUACAUUUCUGAAAUAGUGUCUCCUGGGCCGAAGCCUUAGUUUUCAAGUAGGGAAAUAAGACUUGAAUCAAAUGACCUCUUUCCUAAAUACUGAGAGUAGUAAGGCUCCAUCUGUUAAGUGAUUCUUCCUUCAGUCUAAAUAUUGGCAUUAUAGCUAAUAUCAGAGAUCGCAAAGUGGUAAAAAUUUAUGGUAUUUGGUAGAAGUUAAUAUUAUACUUGAUUUAUCAUUGUGUUGAAAAGUUUUCAGGGGCUCCUGGGUGGCCAGUCAGUUAAGCGUCUGACUCUUGAUCUCAGCUCAGAUCUUGAUCUUAGGGUCAUGAGUUCAAGCCCUGCAUUGGGCGUGGAGCCUACUUAGAAAACAAAACCAAAAAAAAGUUUUCACAAAACCUUAGCGCUUUAUUUCACUGUGUGAUUGUGGUAAAUUAUCUAAUUAAUUUAUUCCCUUUGAAUAACCACACCAGCUAUUCAGACCUGAAACUGAAGUUAUAAUCCUGAGCAGUACUUAAGACCUUCCUCUUUCAAGAUUCUUCAGUCCUAACUCCAGCUGAAGUUGCCGGCCACAAUCAGGCAGUUUUUGACAGCUUACAUUGAUCAGAUUAGGCAGAAAAGUCUAAAAUUUCUCCUUCAUGACAUGCUGUAUAGCCACAGCCAUUAUAUACUUCUUAGCAUGAUAUGAAAUUAUAUAUAUAGAGAGAGAGAUGGCAAAACUCUAAAUUUUAUAAGCUUUUUACAUCAUAAGUUAGUCAUGUGCAACUAAUUUCUGAGCAGGAAUCAAUCCACAGAUAUCUGUUGUGCUGUUCUGUUUGUGUGUGUGUGUGUGUGUGUGUGUAGGGAUCCCUGGGUCUCUCGUCUGUCCUUCACAAGGGCUGCUCGUUCAGGUGCAGGGAAGACCACUUCUAAUUUCUGAUCUGGGUUUUCUUUGCAUCCCAUAUUAGAGAGAAGAGAACCGUCCCAGCCGUCCUUUUCCCCAUCCCCAGCUUGUGGACUGCGCUCCAACACUGUUAGGGUCACUGUCUGUCGAUUUCAGACCAUUUGGAAAUGAAAUCAUAGUACUCUCCUAUUUCUCCCUGCUCCUCAGUGUCCUUUGGUGGUUAAAGUUUUUGAGGGUGGGGUGGGGGACCAGAUCUCACAGCAUGAAUAAACUGAAAAAUGUUACCCAACAUUUUUAAUUAACACUGGCACUUCUAGGCUUCCUGCUGAGGACUGCCGACUUGACUUUACAAAAUGACAUUUAUGACACUAAAGAUACGGAAACUCACUGAAAGAGGCUGAAAACCAGUUCCUGGCCUGUUUGAAUACUGGUUUAAUGGUAAUGGAACUUCAGCUGUGUGUUGUCGAUUAUUCUUGAAAUGCCCAACUUGUUUUAGACAGGCUUUUGCUACUAUGAAAGCUAAUUAAAGCAGUUUGCCACCAAUUCCACUGAGUUCCCCUCCCUGCCUAGUCACAGGUAGCAGCCCUGCCACCAGCAGUGGGCAACUCUGUGCCAAGAGUAAUUACUUCAAAUACAAUUCCGUUUAUUCAAAGGGACGACUGUUGCUCCCCGUGAGAACUUUGUUGAGAAAAGAAAAGAUACAUAGGUUUAUGUUAAUUGUAUACCCCAUGCUGGAAGUUUGAUUUUAACAUGAGUGCAGCUUUUUAGUCCCUUUAUCAAAAUACAUGCAGGAGCCUUAUUUUGCCACCACCUGAACACUUUGUGGGCACCUUCACGUUGUAUGAACAGUCAGCAGCUCUCACAUGGAUUAGAUUCUAGAACUUGAUUUUUAAGUUGGUUGUUUGAAAGUGGAGCUUCGUUUAGCUUUGGACAUAAGGUGAUAACUAAUAAGUUCCCAGAAUAACGUACUGAAGUUUAUUAGACAAUACAAUAUUAAUAAUAAUAUUCGUAUUCAUUAAAAGCUUACUCUGUGCCAGGCAUUGCAUUGAGAGCUUAAACGUCACCUUACUAAUCUUUACAACAAUCUGAAAUAGUGGGAACAACGUGCUGAUUGUUCCUAGAUGAUGUGUACAAAAAAUCAGUGGAUUUGGCCACUUUGGUGUGAAUAAAAGCGCAUGGAUGGAAAGUAGGGCAGGCGAGGUGGUUGUUGUAAGCAUAGUAUUUCUCAGAGCUGUGCUUUCACCGAUAUGUCAUUGUUUAGAUUUAAAUUGUUUAGAUAUAAAUUUAUUAAAAUUAAGUAAAAUUUAAAAUGCAUUCCCUUUGCCUUGGUCACCUAUCAGGUGCUCAGUAGCACCAUGUGGCUGUCACCACAGUGCUGGACUGCAUAGGUAUAGGACAUUCCCAUCAUCACAGAAAGUCCUGUUGGAGAGACUAUUGGAAUGCUAGUGACAAUGAUGUAGUCAAGAAAGAGAUUGAAGACGGAGGAAGAAAUCCCACUAGAAAGUAGGGUAGGGGAAGGUAAGAAUGGAAUCCAUGUGUAGGAAUUGCCUUUCUUUUUACAAAAGAAGGGACUCUGGGAUGGGUUAGCCUGAUGAUGGGUAUUAAAGAGGGCACGUACUGAGUGGAGCACUGGGUGUUAUAUGCAAACAGUGAAUCAUGGAAUACUACAUCAAAAACUAAUGAUGUAUGGUGAUUAACAUAACAUAAUUAAAAAAAAAAAAAAGAAGGGACUCUUCCUCCAAAGUAACACUAGAAAAGGUGCAGAUCCAGUGUUUAUAGUGGGAAGAUAAAGGAGUUCUCUCUUGGUUUCUGUUUUUCUCCAGCAUAACAUAGACAAAUGGCCAAGCGUGAAAGAGGAAGGAAAGGGGUGAGAUUUGGGGGGGGGGGGAGGGGAAGGUUGAAGAUGGGAUAAAAUGAUCAUUGUAAAUGGGGUGAGAGUAAAUUUAUCACAGAAGUAUAAAAGUAUGGCAGGCAGAAUUUAGUGUCUGCUUAUGAAUUUAUAAUGAUUCAAGUUUCCCUGGUUUAUGUGAUUUUUCCCCAGAAACACUCAACUGGAGAGCUGUAUUAAGGGACAUUCAUAAGGCAGACGUUCAUAGAUUGGGGCUGUGUGUAAUGGCUUAGAUUAAUACUGCUGAAUUGGAACCCUUAGGGAGAUGUAAAACUAAUGGAGCUCAGCAUGGUGAAUCCAAUCCAGGACAUGAAUUGAGAAAUGCAUUGUUUAGUCCUGCAGUAAUACAUCAUUAUCCCUUUAUAUAGGAAUCAUUGAGAUUCCACCUCUGAAAUACUCAUGUAUGAGGCUCAUCAUAAUCAUUUGGAGAAUUUGUAUAGCAGGCUGUUGUUUUCUGUACUUCAUGGUUGGUCUUGUUAAUUUCAGUCUCAGCAGCAGCCUAGAAUGUUAAGCCAAUUUGCUAAAUCUUGCCUGGCCUCUGAAAAAUGCUUAAAUCCAUUUAUGUAACACAAGGGGUUGAGGUUAUAUGAUGUGUUAGAAUUUAAUGCCUUCUUAUGGCAUCAGUACUGAAUACUUUGGUUAAUCAGAACCAAAAAAAGAAACAUGUUAGAAUUUUUAAAUUAAGGAGUAAUUGUGUUGUUGAUGUUUCAUAGGCGUGCGUGUAGUUCAAUGUGAUUAUACAUCCCAUAUAAACUUUCCACUUUCAUUAGCUAUAAAAUGCUUGAAGGUGUAGCCCUCAUUUAUGGGGUAUUAAAUAGGGAAAUAUUAGUUACUUGAAUUCAUAAUGUACUUUUCUUCUAAAACUUGGUCAAUCAUGUGAUUAGUUGUGCUUAAUGCUAGAGAUGAAAUGGAUUAUCAGCAACUUACCUUCUAAGUUCUUUCUUUUCCCUACCAGUUACAUUAAACAUCCAUUUCCCAAAUACAAAGAGACUUUUUCCCCCCCUCAUUUCUGGGACUUCCAGGGAAUUAAGAGGUUAAUAUUUAUAAUACUGAGUUUCAGAGAUGCAAGGCACUGUGUACAAAGUCAUGUUUGAGCAUUUCUUGUAAGCCUCUAUGCUCCAACCCUUUGAAGUGGAUUUAGUUCCUGUGGAAACUUAUCACUGUGGUGUAGGUAGUGCCCUUACCCACAGUGAAAAAUAAAAUAAAUUCAGAGUAUGAUUGUAUAAUUUUAUAACAUGGCUUGGGAAGUGGACAUUAGGAAUAUGUGUAGUUGUGCUCUUUAGCUGUUUAGAUUGUGUUUGAAAACAACCUUGGAUACAUCACCAUCUGUCCUUCACAUUGAAGCCAGAAUAGGUAUAAAUAGUGGUUUAGUAGAAGUUUUAGUGGGUUCUUUUUCUCCCAACACCACAAAUAGUAGCUUGUUGAGGAGGCAAAGGAUAUGAGAAAUAUUUCAAAAGUAAAAUUAGUUACUGGAGGUGAAGAGGGAGAAGUAAGAAUACUGAUUGCCUCCUACGAAAGGUUGGCAUUUUACAGGGUAUGCAGCUGGUAGAAUUGACGUUGAUGAGCUUGAAGAGGAGGCAGCGGAGGGCAGAGAGACUAUUCUGAGGGUAAUAGUAAUAGUAGUAUGUGCAUAAACUGUUAGCUUAGCCUAGGGUGCUGUUAAGGCGAACUGAGCAAUGGUUGAAAGUGAAAAGACUUUUCAAAGGAAGAACUAACAAUCUCAGUGACUUCUGGAAUAUAAAGUAUUAAGAGCACAAAAGAACAAAAAUGUAAUGCCUACUGAUAAGCUAACGGUAUUGCUAUUGGUGAAAAAUGGAAGGAAAAUCUUGUUUGGGUAAGGAACUGGAAAUCAAAUAAAUUGGACGUAUCCAGUUAUUGCUUAGUCUAAAGGUCUUUGAGUUAGAAGGAAUAUAAGAGGGCCACCAGAUCUAGUCCCUAGCUUCAGGUAGGGAAGAUUACCAUCUGUGUAUUUUAUAAAGAACUGAUGCCCAAAGAAGCCAAAGGUCACACAGCUACUAACUGAUGGAGAGCAACUAGAAAACCCAUUCUAUCACACAGAAAGCAAUGGGAAACCCCCCAAAGAGGGAAGGAUAACUCCAUCUGGAACCCCAGAAGAACAACAGGGGCAAAGACCUGAGCUUUGGGGAUCACACACAACUAAGACAGGGAGGGAGGUGGGGAAAGCGCAGUGAAAACCAUAGGGAAGGGACCAACCUCCCUGAUAGACAAGGAUUUCAUGGAUGGAGCCAGCUUCCAGGCUUUCCACUCGUGUUACAUUUUACUCCCAAUGGCUUACCCCAUAACUUAAAAUAAUCGGGUGGUUUCUCAGUCCUUCUUUCUCACAAGGUUGCUGAGAUACUAAACCAGAAGGGCUGUGCUGAAGGCUGACAUGUGUGAAGGCAUUGUGAAUUAUUUCCCAGUUCACAUUUUUGUUUCUGUGUAGAGUUGGCAUGUGGGAUUUCUUACCUGGUGUCUCGGUGCUGUUAAGUGCUACGGAUUCACAGAAACGGGUUUUGGUGCUUAGGCAGCCUGAGGGAAAGCAACCUUUCUUUUAGCAGUUUUUCAGGGCAUACAGUAUCUGUAGAUAAUAUGGCAUUGUAAUCUUUAAAAUGAAUUAUUUCUUGAUAAGCAACAUAUGCCUGUGAUAGAAGAUUUGAAUGUCACAUGCAAAAGUAGACCACCUCCUUAAGUCCAUGACUUCCUAUCCAAGUCCUCUUCUUUGAAGCAACUCCCGUUACCAGUUGUGUGUCUUUUUCAGAUACAUCCUGUGCAUAUAUUAGCAUAUGCAUGUUACAUGAUUUUAAAUCGAACUUGAGUACAUGAUGAGCUUACAGAGAAGAAGUAACUGUUGUUGACUAACACCCAUAAACUCCUCUUUUUCAAAUGUACUUUAUGCCAGGCUUUCUCCAUCUUCUGUUAACCAUUAGUCAACCAUUACUUUCACUGCAUGUCUAUUUUGGAGAGCAAGAAGGGGCUCAAAAUGAACGUACGAGACACAGUGUGAGCGUGAGGACAAGACCUAUUGGUAAAUGCACACAUCGAUCCCUGCCUCCAAUGCAUUUACUUUAUAUAUAAAAGAAGAGCUGUGGUGGGAAAUCCAGCGUGGGGGGAGGGGGUACAGGAGGGUCUCCGGCCGUUCCCUCGUUAGCAUCAAGCAUCGCUUGGUCUUCCCAGACACCACUGCGUGCCUGGCCAGUCGGCACACUCUGGGUUUGCAGGGCUGUCUCUGCUCUUCCGCCACCAGCACCUAGGGACACCUUUAGGAGGAGGAUCCCUCUUCUGUACUCACAAGAGUUCCAUUUCUGUCACGUGCUUCCACUAGCCAUUGAGGUUUCUCAGACAGACAGACUUCUCCCCCUGCACCUCGCCAACCUCAUUUUUUGUAUUCUUGACAGUGGACUUCUUGCUUUAACCAGGAAAUCUGUGUUUGUGAUUGCACCACGUCUGCAAGGACCGGGCCCUCCAUUCUGCCCUUCUUGCCUUCCCUUAAAGGACUAUUGAAAACUCUCCUUUUUUCACACAGCCUUCCCGAUUUCCUGACUUCUGAGCACACCUUCACUCAUGACUGCCCUUGAUGGGAAUUCCUUUUCUCCUAGAAUGUGUCUGUUGGAAGUGUUUGGCUUUCUGAUCUUACGUAAAUUUCCACAGGAAUCAUUGGAAGAAAAAGUUUAUUAGUGACAUCACUGCCUUUACUUCCUUUACUUUUCCGUCCCCUCCCUUAACUGCCUAAGCCUUUCCCGUUCUUUAAGACCCUACUGAAAUUCUUUCAUCUCAUCUACGACCUCCACAUCUUCAGCCAGAUGUAAUCUUCCCCUUUCAUAUUUUUCCCUUUUUCCCAUCCAGUUGUACCCCGUUAAAGUAGCUCCCUCCAUUUCUCUUACUGCUCGUUCCUGAAAUUGUUUCUCCAAAUGGCGAGGGAUCAAAUGCCAUGGCUUUUAUCAGCCGCCUUGUUGACAGUCUCCUCUGUCGUGAGGCUCAGCCCUCCCCAGCUCCCCUGCCUGGGACAGUGUGUUGCAUGGGUUCUUCCCUGUACUCUCAGCUCUGGGGCCGCCCCACUCCCUUCCCUGCUUCUCUCCCCCUCCCUGGAGGCUGCAGUUCUGUCCCAGUGCCCCCAGUGUCUUGCUCAGGGAUUUCUCUGUGCUUGCAGCCCUGCCCCACGCUCAGGUCCAGCUCCACCCCCCGCGCUCAGGUCCAGCUCCACCCCUGUCCACCUGGGGUUCCUGGCAUCCUUAAGCACUUUCAUUCUGUAAAUCCUCGGGCCUAAGCCAUGUGUGUGUCGUUCAGUCUUUCCUCUUCUUAACUCUGUGUCCGUCUGCUAACACGUCCUUCCAUUCCUGCUUUCCAAGGCUGCCCUUCUGGCCUGUUUCUGUACCUGGGGAGUGCCCUGCUGGCCUCCCAGCCUAGGCAGGUCCCUCUGCCGUCUAUCUGGUCUAUUCAGAACAGAUCCAUCUUUUCACAGUGGCACCUUUAUAACUUCACCCCCUCAUUUGGAAAGGCUGGUGGCUUGCCAUCAGCUGCAGAGUAGACUCUAAGCUGCUGUCUGUUACAGGCAGUCUCUCCCAGUCCCAGCCCCUUCCUUUCCAGCAUCGCCUCUCACCUCUGCAAGCGCUGCCUCCAGCCUGAGUCCCCUAAAGGAGCCUGGCUCCACUGAGCCUGGACUGGGGCUCACACACCCCCCAGCAAAUGACCUCUUGCAGUCCCACCCUUCAUUCAAGAGUCUUCUAUUAUCCCAUCUCCUUUUCCGUGGACUUCCACACUACCCCCAUCCGGGAAAGACCACUCCCUCCUCAGAACAGUAUAGCACCUUUCCUUGGCACCCUCAUUGCCUUGGGCUUGACUUCUGCGAGCGUGUGUCUUUAACGAGUGUGUGUUUUUCUCCUUCCUUUUGUUUCUACACACCCUUUAGCACCCCCUUCACAGUGUGUACACGGUGGCCAGCACGGUGAUGCCCAUGUGGCUUUUCCCUGCCUGGCUGCCCUGUGUUCUUGGAGCUCCGCCGGUGUGGCCUGGUGAUCCCAUUCAGGGAUUUCCCGCAUCCAGUGGCAAUGCUUACGCACUCUGCCCUUCAAGAACCAACAACGGGCUUAGCUCCAGCUGCUUCCCACCUGCGACUCCCCCCUCCCCUCCUCGUUCCUGGCACUCUGACACUUAGAGGGCAAAUCAGUAGGGGUGAUUUUUUCUUUCCUUCACUUGUCACUAAAAUAAAUACAUUCGCAAUUCUUACAGUUAAGAGAGCCAGCCACAUGCCUUCCUGGGUGUAUCUGGGAGUCGGCUCUUGCUUUCCCAGUGCAGUGGAGGAAGGAGUCUCCCUUCAAGUGAUGCAGCACACUGUGUCACUACAGACUUAACAUUUGUUCUUCACCUAGUUGUGUUAGGGUGUGCCACAGUCCGCACUGAGCUCUGUGACAGUUUUGAAAUUUUAAAAAUGAAGCUAUUCUUGACUUCUCUUAGUAGGAAAAGCACUCUUUCACACGUGAUCACAGCAGGGAAGAGGUGGGGGUAGUGGGAUGUAUUUUUAUGCUCGGGUGACUCAAAUGGGAUUUCACCAUACAUCUCACCCCGCCCCGCCCCCAAGCAUCCCCUCAGCUGAAGAGCAUAAGAAAUCCAUCCGAAAGGGUAAUUCUUUUUAAAAAAUUUUUAAGUGUCUAAAAAUAGGAGCUUAACAUGAAUGUGUACGCUCAACCAUAUUUCUGUGCAGACUGCUGGUACCAUACUACUCAACUAGAAGAUUCUGUGACUCUAUGCUAUUAUAGUAGUUAGAUCUCGUUGAUGAAAAUGAUAUAAUAAGGCCUAAGAAAUAUAUAUUUCUCCAAAAUAUGGAAGGAUUAUCUCUGGGAGGUUGUAUUCAGUGUUUCAUUACAUUUGCUUGGAGAGUCUUGGAUUCAUUGCGCGUAUGCUCCGUCAGAAAAAACCUGCUAAAUUGCCAGGACUGGUGCCUGCCUUUUGGUUGUACUGGGGACAGCCACACUGGCUAUAGCCAGUUCUUUCUCUUCUGAACUUGAGGACUUUCUGCGGGAAGAAUGGGCGAUGAAGAGAAGUAGUAUAAUAUCCCCCUUCUAGAAAUUGCAAUGUGAAAGUUGUCUUGGAAAACAAAGGCCACAGUUUGUUUGCAUGGUCUAGAAUGUACAGCCUCCCCUUUGCAUUGUCCUUCCCCAUGGGCUGGUUGGAAUGCUCAGCUACACCCUUUGCUUUUGCUCCACUGAAACUCAUCUGGCCCCAGAAAUCUUUCUUCCUCCUCCAUGAUUUCCCUAUAAUUCUGGUAUAUUCUUUUGCUUCCCAGUAUCUUUCUACCUUCCCCAUCUUAUCCCCGUUCCUCCUGUCUCCCUCCUACCUCCAAAUUUGGGCAUUGAUCCAGGACCAAAUUAUCCAGUUUAAUCUCCUUGGCCAUAUCAAGUAAUAAAGCAAUAGAGUCAUUACAAAAGUCAUUCCCAAAUAGGAAAAACAAUGAAGGCUGAAGAGUCAUUUUAGCACCAAUGGAGAGUUACCACCAGAGCUCUCCUACUAAGACAGCAAAUGGGAACUUUUCUCAACAUUUGUUUAUUGUUGGUAGGUCUAAAAUUGUGCUCUGGCUUCUGAUUAUUUCCUUGUGGAUUCCUACUUGACUCAGAAUGUAUAAGCUCUAACUCUGUACAGCUAAUUCCACCUUUCCAAACCAAGCCUGAGUCAGCAAGUGUCACGAACACAAAUACCAAGCUUUUCUCUAGGGGGAAGUAGAGGAGUUCAGAAGGCUUGGAGUCACCAGGUUAUGGGUGUAUUUAUAUCCCCAAGGUCAAAGGAGGUCUCUCCUCUCCAUCUCUGAAUCUGUCUCUCUAGUAUAGAUACACUGGACAGAUCUUCAGCAGGCUCUAAAGUUGCUUCGAGAAAAUCAUAAGGCCAGUUCUUGCUUCCUGUUCACUAGUGAUAGAUGUCCUCUUGUCUAAAACACUAUAUUCCGUUUCUGUCCUAUCCCAAACCAGAUCUCCGGGUUUGUUUAGCACUAUGUUUACAAUUAUAUUACCUCUCAAUCUCAUUAUAAGACAUGUGCAAUUUGUCUCUCCCCACCCCCAUUAGACUUUGAGCUAUCUGAAGGCAAAGAUCAUAUCUUAUUCAGACCCUAUCAUAGUGAAUGGCAUUUAAUGAAUGCUUAAUAAUAUCUGUUAUUGGAAUAACAGAAUGGAUGAAAGAAUGAAUGAACCAGCCAACCCUCAUAUUUUCCAUUCUUAGACCAAUUUUAGUGAACAUUCCAAAGUAACAGGAUAGGGGAAAUAGAAAUCACUCAUAAAGUCUGGGGGACAAAAUAAAUUAACUUGUGUUGGCAUAAGUUCAAUGUAUUAUAUAUAGGUAUACACAUAUUGUAUGCGCAGGAUUAACAUUUUGUAAGUAGUUUAAUUAAACAGUUACUUUACCAAAUCAGGUGAGAGUAAAUGCCAUGCUUUUCUUUAGUUGUACUUAUACUAUUAAUAAUAAUGCAUUUCUUCACCUUGAAGCCUUAUUGAGAUAUUUCAAAUAAAAAUAAUUUGGUGUAUUAAGAUGGCUUGGUCUCGCUCACACAGUGAUGUAUCCCUUGGAGAUUCACAUUUAACAUUUGGCCCUGGAUAUCUCUGCAUUCCAUGGCUUGUAGGUUUUUUAAGGGACAGAGAAUGCUUCUGCAGAUAGUACAGUUCUUAUAAACAAGGGCCGCUUCUAUGAACUGCGAUUCUGUUUUGUUCCUACUGUGUGGAUGCAGGAGGUGAUGUUUCUAGUCAGGAUUCUUGUGUAAACUGCUGUUGUCUCAGGCACUGCUAAAGCAAAGAGCUGCAUUGUUAACCCACUAGUCCCUGUUUUUAUUACAGCGUUAUUACUUGGCAUUUAUUAAGCAAUAACAAUAUUCCAAGCAUCGUUAAGAAAGAAAGGGAGAAAGGGAAGGAUGGCUUAUACUUGUCUAAAUUAAGGCUCACUCAGUGCAAUAUGUUAGCUCAAGCAUUUCGCCUAAUGAGAAGAUUGUGUGAGUUUGAGAAAGCAACAUCUCAUGAGUCCUGGGUUGUUCCAAAGAAAGUGUGAUUGGAAGUUGAUUUGGGGUCCUUUCAGGUUGAGUUAAUGUUGGCCUCAUUUAUGUUCUGUGUCCCUAAACUCUGUAUAAUUAUUGCCUCUUAUUCCAGAUACCUUUUAUGUAAGUAAGAAAUAUUUUAUCUCUCUUUUUGAGAUGUAUGCCUUGCUGCACAUAGCCCAAAUGUGUCAAGGGUACCAUGAUGUGGUAGAAAAUUGAAAUUAGCCAACUGAUUGUUCUUCUCUGCCUCAUACCUGAUGCCUCACUUCACAAAUCUUUUCAACCAAAUAAAUAACUAUUUCUUGUCCAAGACAUUAUUACUUGGAGAAAUUUUCUGGGAAAGUUUUUUUUUUUUACUAAUAUUAAGUGGCCAUUAGUCUUUCUAGGUUACCAGAUUUUAAGAAAAUAUUUAUAAAACAAAAAUGGUUUGUGCCCUUAUUCUUCGGAGAUACAGCAGAAGAUGGCCCCAUUUUUCUAAAUCCAGACGCUUGUGGGGUGAGUCCAUGUAGUAGAAUCUCACUCAGGGUAUGGUGAAGUUGGCAAGAUGUCAUGUGGUUCUCUGAAGAGUAGAGUAAGAGCAGUCUGCUCAGGAAGACAAUGCAGACAUCUGGGAGUCCCAUAACGUCAGAUAUAGUAUUGUCCGCUGAGCCCCAUGAGAAGGCAGAGUAGCCAGCCCCCACAAGCUUUCACCUGGUCACCUGUUAAGUUCCCACUCUCCUCCUAUGUUUACCCUAAUGUCCCCAUCAUUUCCAAGCACUCAAUAUUACUGAAUAAGGAAGGAAAAUAUAUUGCAAAAUUGGAAAGCUUUUCACUCACCUUAUAUUCUGGUGUGUUGGUGUUCAUCUGCUUGGGGUGUGUGAGGCCUGUUGGUCUAAGAACAGUGAAUCUGUUAUAUAGAGCACCGCAUUAUUCAUUUUAUCUCGGAUGGGUGACCAGAGGUCCUGUCUGUGUAUUUUUCCAGGUAUUAGGCCUUCUACGUGAUAUGUUAAUACUUGUAGGACUGGCAAUGUUUUCCUCUCCCUUCCUUGCAGAUAGGUCACCUUCCUCCUGUGGAUCCAGAUUAUUGAGUUGUGAUACUGACCUCUUUCUCCAAAAUCAACCAUUAAAAUUAAAAAUUAAAUAUUAAAAUAUUUUCAGAUAGAUCUUGCUGUUUCAAGCCUUGGGUGUAGAGGAUAGAAUUCUAUAAACUCUGUUGUAUCUCUAGCCAAAGCUGAGUUUUUCUUUAACAACACCCAGUUGAAUCUGCUAGUUGAAUGGAACGGCACUCAUUGUGGGUGACGAUCGACUCUCCAGCCUGAUUGGUUCGUUGAACUGAGUGCUGGACCGGGUGUCCUCAAGGUCAGCGGUCCCUCCUCUGAUACGGGGGAGGGCCUCUUGGCAUUUUUUGUGUUGAGAUGAUAGACAACAUCAUAGCUCACAUUCAUCAUUUUAGAAAAUAAAUGUUAAAAAAAAAGUCCUCUGCGGGGCACCUGGGUGGCUCAGUUGGUUAAGCGACUGCCUUCGGCUCAGGUCAUGAUCCUGGAGUCCCAGGAUCAAGUCCCGCAUCGGGCUCCCUGCUCGGCAGGGAGUCUGCUUCUCCCUCUGACCCUCCUCCCUCUCAUGUGCUCUCUCUCAUUCUCUCUCUCUCAAAUAAAUAAAUAAAAUCUUUUAGGGGCGCCUGGGUGGCUCAGUUGGUUAAGCGACUGCCUUCGGCUCAGGUCAUGGUCCUGGAGUCCCGGGAUCGAGUCCCGCAUUGGGCUCCCUGCUCGGCAGGGAGUCUGCUUCUCCCUCUGACCCUCCUCCCUCUCAUGCUCUCUGUAUCUCAUUCUCUCUCUCUCAAAUAAAUAAAUAAAAUCUUCAAAAAAAAAAAAGUCCUCUGCUUUUAUUUCACUUUAUUUUUUCAGAUUUUAUAGCAACGUGUAUAUGGAGACAAGUUGAAACUAAGAAAGCAAGCAGCUUUUGGAGAUGUUUGGCCUUUUAAGUGUAAUUGAGUUGUCUUUCAGAUUUUGCAUUGUUAGAAAGAGGCUGUUUACAUUUUAUUCUGGAAACUAUUAUUAGGAUAUUGUAAUUUAAGGUAAAAUGAAAAAAGUUGAAUAGAUAAUACUUUGAAUUAAUACUUUCUUCAUUGAUAUUGCAUUUUAUGAUAGCUUUAUUAUAAAUGAUGAGUGGUUUAUUACAUAUUUUUAACUAUUGGCAAUGGGGUUGAGAGCUUUAGUUUUGUAUUAUAAAAGCAGAAAUCCUGACUCCUGGGCUUAACAUCUAAUGAAAUGUUUAAUACAGAAUAAAAUUAAGAGUUUUUGCAUUGUGCCAUAGGAAUUAGAGCUAAAGAUUUAACUCCAUGGCUGUGUUUGGUGCCUGCUUUUAAUGUGGUAGAUACCAUUUUAUGAGAUCACCAGAUCCCAUGAAGGAUGCAUUGUCGCAACCUGCUAAAAGAAUCGGAAUUAUUUUAGCACCAGCCAUUCUCAUAUCUAUCCAUCUACCCGUCCAUUCCUUCCCUGCCUCCCUUCCUUCCUUCCCUCUCCCUCUCUUCCCUUCUUCCCCUCUAUUCCUCCCCCCACUUCCCUCCCUCAUCCCCCCCCCACCACCAUCACCACUCUAUACUUACUGGUCCAGAUACAGGGAAAGGGUCCUUUUUUGUGCACCUGUACUCCUAAUGAAUGAUUUCUGUGUUCCCGAGAGUGUUAGGAAUUUGUGGCUGCUGAUUGUUAUUACAUGACUUCUUUAGCCUUCUGGUGGAGACUGGCAUGAGGAGAGCUGCCUCCAUAUUUUCUUUCCUUCUCUGAAGUUACCUUAUUAUCCUUGCCAUUUAUAUUAGCAGAACUAAAAAGAUGGGUAAGUAGUUUCCUCAAAAUAUAAAGCUCAGACCCACAUCAAAGAAGUUUCUCAGACAUGAAGAUGGGGGAAGCAGCAGUGAAACCUGCAGAUAGCUCGAAAACAGAUGGCCGAGUAUCAGGGUGUCACCGAGUCUGAAGAGGAGAGCUGAACACUGCCUAUCUCAGCUUCAGUUUUACCGAAAUGUUUUUAUUUGUCUUUGACCCUUAAUUCAACUUACAAGAAAUUAUCCCCAGGAAAGAAUCAGAGACAACAGUAACAAUUUAUAUCCAUCUCCAUGUUAUUUUAAGCACUGAAAAAUUAGAAACAGCCCAAAUGUAUUUCUGUAUUCUUUUCUGGGUUUUUUUCUCCCCGGAGUUUAUACAAUGGCCCUGUCAGUGCAAUGAGCAAAAUACUUGGAUCUGUUUUCUUAGCUGCCUUUUAAGUGAAUAUUUAGCAUUAAACAUUAGCAAAGAUGGUUUCACCAGCUACAGAAUGCCUUACCAGGAGUGAUUUUAUUCUCUGUUCAAGUCUUUGGCUUUCCAGUUCUCUCGCUGAAUACAGUCAUCAACCCCCUUGGUCCUCAUUGCCACUGUGGGGUGGAGUAGGAAGGGCGAAGGCAGCUGCUGGUGCUUGUGGGAGUGAGGGGAGGAGGAAGGGAACAGAGUGUAGAGUCCAGGAAGGAAAAGGAAAGUGAAGAGGGGCGUAGAGAUACGUGGGUCAAAAUCCCAGUCAUUUCAAGUGACCCCAAAACUGGUUUUUUUUCCUUGUUUUUCAUCAAUAUAUAUUUUCAAGUAUCGACUUUAUUCCACCAAUUCCUUUUUGCCAAGUAUGUUUUUGGAUUACUGUUCUAUCUCUAUUACUGUUUCGAGUUCUCCAGAUUUGUAUUUCAUCUUUGUCUUACAUUUCUCAUUCACCAGUGCCUUUUUAAAUCUUAUUUUCAUGCAAAGAUUAAAUUGUUUAAAUGUCUCUUGCAGCUAAGAUUUAAUUUUCCUUCUUAGGUAUCUUGAAAUUCUGCCCUCCUGUUAUUUUUGCCUAGUAGUGGCUUUUUCCAUCAGCAGGAAGGAAAGCAGUCAAUAGAAAUCAAUUGCUGACUCAGUGGCUAUAUGGAGGGCUUACCAUAAUGCAUAUUGGAAAUGCCUUUAAACCUUUUCCUGAAUGGAAGGUGCCAUGGCUUGUGUUUUAUGGCCUUCUAAUGGUGGACGGUAAUCUCAUUUAGCAUUUUCCCAGAGUGAAAACAGUGCAUUAGAGUAGCAUAACAAGCAUUGCAGAUCAAUACAGAGGCAGAGCUUUGCCCUUACAGAUUAAUCCAAGAAGAAUGUACCAGAGUCUACUCCAGCAACUGGGAGACAAUUAUGCUGAUUUCCACCCCUGUUCCCCCCUUUUCUGCUAUCUAAUCAUCAAUACACAUUGAAAUGUAUACAAAAAGGAUUUCAGCAGAUGUGUGUGUGUGUGUGUGUGUUGUGUAUACACACACAUAGACCAGACCAGCAGACAGGAAAUCAAGGACCCUGGAAGUGAGCAGUAUUGAUUUGUGGUGAUAAAAGUAUAUUUUGACACAUUUCAAAUCAUAAAUAACUCAUGGACAUUAACUUACAUGACUAACAGCUCAACCCAGUAAAUGUUUAUAUACAGCUUAAAUUACUUCUUUCUAAGGAGUUCAUAGUAUUGGAUGAAUUAUUCCAUCACAAAUAGUUUUUUAAAGAAAAAAAGAAACACCCUCUUCUUUAUGAUGUGUAGUAUGUGGAAGCUCAUUCUUUACAAUCUUUUUCCUGAAUGUUAAUGGGGAAGAGCUGAAGAGAAGGUCGGGAUUGUUCUCGUCUUCUUUCCCCAUCCUCCUUCCUUUGCUUUUAAAUCUAAGAUAUGGUAGAAGAGUCGUGGUCCUCAGCACUAGGAUAGAACAUAACCCUGUUUUCCCAUGAACAGUCCUAGGCAUUAGUCAUGUAUUUGCUGGGUUCAGCUGACGUAAUGCUUAAUUAUAUUUUAUUCAAUAUUUAUUCAGAUGUGUGUCUUGCUAUAAUCAGUAAGUUUGUGGUGUCUGUGCUUCUGCUUUUCGAAGCAUAGCUAACUCCCUUUAGAUGCUGAUGUUCAUGGAAGGGAAUUAGGGAAAUCCAUGUCCAAAAAAAUUCAUAGACAUUAGGAACUUUGAAAUCUUAGAGAGAAUGGAAACUCCAGGGAUUGGUUAUAAAUUCUGUUCUUAGGUAUUUGGCAGAGCAGUAAGGUAGUGUUCAAUGAAAAAGUAAAAGUGAUGUAAUGUAAAAGUUGUGGGAUUAUUAUUAUUUUUUUUUCCCUGUAUGUCUACUUUCCUUAGAAGGUAGUAAGAAGUAAAUUCCCUCAGGGACCAGUAACAUGGUUUGCAUUUCAGUUUUCUGUACAAGCAAAAUAUGUAUUAGCUUAGUGGGUUGGAUAAAAGUAAUGAGACAAGUCAUCACCCAGGGGUUUCCUUAUUGAUGAGAAAUAUUCCCCCUAUAUUCUCUAGGGUUUUUUUUUUUUUAGAACCCAUUUAAUAUAAAAUAAUGCUAUUUCAAGAUUACUACAGAAAUAAAAAACUUAAAUUGCAAAAAAAGAACUGAUAUGAAAGACUGGAAGCCUCUUGUACUAAAUAAAACUAAUUUGAAAAAUAUGAAUUCCUAGAUUAAAAGUGAUAAUAUUAUGUAUUUUUUCUGUGUAUGUUUAGUCCUUAUAAUUCAAGUUCCUCUACCAUCUUAACAAGAAUAUUUCCUUUUCAUUGGUAUAAUUCAUUUGGCUGAUUUUAUUAUCAUUUUUCAAGUGUAUAUUUUAAGAUUUUUGGAGGCACUUAUGUUUGGUAGUGCAUAUUCACUGAAAGCAAAUCUUAACUAAAAUCUGAGAUUUGUAAGUAUAAUUAGUAAAAUUUUAGCCCAGAAAAUUUAUAAAUGUUUUUUCUCCACCCAUUUGUAUUCUCAGUAGUUUAUUGCAUGACUUCUAUAACAGUCUUUACUUCUUGGGAUUUGCCUCCUAGUAGAUGUAGGCUAGUAAAUUACACCAGGUUAUGGUGUAGUCAGUGUUAAGUGGAAGGUGAAAGAAGUGGUAGAAGAAGCUAAUACAGGGUCAGUGGGGUCGCCAAAAAGAGAAUAGUAGACUCCACCCUCAAUGGAGAGCUAGUGAAGCUGUCUAGAGAAGGUUACACUUCAGUACUUAGCUCAAAUAUUGAAAGUCGAGUCCUUAUUUUCUGGAUAUAUAGGAAUGGGUGGGAGUUUGGGUACAGGGCAUGUCCAAGAUCGAGAGCAGCAUGAGCAGAAACAUGAAGGGACAUGUACAGAUCAAACCCUGAAAGUGGUUUGAUCAGGCUGAAGCAAUGUAGGGAAUGAAGGCUGGAGAGUAGGUGGAAACCUGAUCCAGAAGGACUUGCCUGGUUCACCUUGCAUUUUGUUUAGAAAGCAGUAGGGAGAGAUACGGUCUCAGUGUUAGAACCUUCUGGAAGGCAGGAGUAAAGAGGCAAAAACUAAAAGACAGAUUAGUUUAGAGGGCUUUGCCUGAUUCCAGGAUAAAAGUGAUUAUGAAUUAAUGUAAUGGCAGUGCAUAUAGAGAAGGAGGACCAGACUGCAUUAUCUCGAACUUUGCAACCUGUUGGAUGUGGGCAUGAAAGAGAGAAGUUAAGGCUCUCAGGUUUUUGAUUUGGCUGACUAGGCUGAAGAGUAUUGGCACCAUUCACCUGAUUUAGGUAUAGGUUUGGUUGGGAAUGUUACAGUGUCCGGAGAGGCUCAUGCUGGUAUCAAUUACUGGAACUAAUUUCAAAGAAAUCAUUUUUAGAAACUUUUUUUCUACACUUGCAACAUUUAUAUCUUAUGUUUUACAUAAUCUUUAGCCUUGAUCUUCACUCUGAUUGAAGACCGUUUGUCUCACUGGUUCCUGUUUUUGUUUGUAGGCGGUAUGAGUUUCGUCCUGUCUGUGCUGAUCUGCAGGCCAGAAUUCUCCAGUGUUACCGCCAGAAUUCCCAGCAGACCCU